rnacentral:rRNA from 1 species
GACGGAGGAUGCAAGCGUUAUCCGGCAUGAUUGGGCGUAAAGCGUCCGCAGGUGGCAGUUCAAGUCUGCUGUCAAAGACCGGGGCUUAACUUCGGAAAGGCAGUGGAAACUGAACAGCUAGAGUAUGGUAGGGGCAGAGGGAAUUCCUGGUGUAGCGGUGAAAUGCGCAGAUAUCAGGAGGAACACCAAUGGCGAAGGCAGCUCGCUGGGACGGUACUGACGCUGAGGCGCGAAAGCGUGGGGAGCAAACAGG